UACGAAGGGUGCAAGCGUUACUCGGAAUUACUGGGCGUAAAGCGUGCGCAGGCGGUUCGGAAAGAGAGGUGUGAAAUCCCAGGGCUUAACCUUGGAACUGCACUUCUAACUACCGGGCUAGAGUACGUCAGAGGGGGGUAGAAUUCCACGUGUAGCAGUGAAAUGCGUAGAGAUGUGGAGGAAUACCGAUGGCGAAGGCAGCCCCCUGGGAUGAUACUGACGCUCAUGCACGAAAGCGUGGGGAGCAAACAGG
rnacentral:rRNA from 1 species